CGGACUUCAGUUCAACGAAUACACCUCAUGACGAUAUUCGUUGUUUUUGAAGCCUGAC
rnacentral:pre_miRNA from 1 species